AAAUUCAUACAUUUAGGGAUCAUUUUAAGUGUGUAUCUUGAAAACGUCAUCAAAUUAUGAUAAAAACCUACGAUGACGAGUUCUAGGGAUCCAUUAUGAGGAUGAAGCUUGGUUCGUUGUAUCUUCAAAUGUUGUGAGCUAUUGAGGAUAGUUUUUGGAUUUCCAAAUGGAAUUCUUUAAGGAGAAAAUUAUAGGCGGAGUAGU
rnacentral:snoRNA from 1 species